rnacentral:rRNA from 1 species
GACGAACGCUGGCGGCGUGGAUUAGGCAUGCAAGUCGAACGGUAUGGUACCUUCGGGUACCAGAGAGUGGCGAACGGGUGAGUAACACGUAGGUAAUCUACCCUCAAAUGGGGGACAACCCAGGGAAACUUGGGCUAAUACCGCAUGAGAGUGCCCUUCGGGGUAUUUAAAAGGUGGCAGUAAUGCUGCCGUUUGGGGAUGAGCCUGCGCCCUAUUAGUUAGUUGGUGAGGUAACGGCUUACCAAGGCGAUGAUAGGUAGGCGGCCUUAACGGGUGGUCGCCCACACUGGGAUUGAGAUACGGCCCAGACUCCUACGGGAGGCAG